AUUGAACGCGGCGGCAUGCUUUACACAUGCAAGUCGGACGGCAGCACAGAGAAGCUUGCUUCUUGGGUGGCGAGUGGCGAACGGGUGAGUAAUAUAUCGGAACGUACCGAGUAAUGGGGGAUAACUAAUCGAAAGAUUAGCUAAUACCGCAUAUUCUCUGAGGAGGAAAGCAGGGGACCUUCGGGCCUGCGUUAUUCGAGCGGCCGAUAUCUGAAAGCUAGUUGGUGGGGUAAAGGCCUACCAAGGCGACGAUCAGUAGCGGGUCUGAGAGGAUGAUCCGCCACACUGGGACUGAGACACGGCCCAGACUCCUACGGGAGGCAGCAGUGGGGAAUUUUGGACAAUGGGCGCAAGCCUGAUCCAGCCAUGCCGCGUGUCUGAAGAAGGCCUUCGGGUUGUAAAGGACUUUUGUCAGGGAAGAAAAGGCUGUUGCUAAUACCGACAGCUGAUGACGGUACCUGAAGAAUAAGCACCGGCUAACUACGUGCCAGCAGCCGCGGUAAUACGUAGGGUGCGAGCGUUAAUCGGAAUUACUGGGCGUAAAGCGAGCGCAGACGGUUACUUAAGCAGGAUGUGAAAUCCCCGGGCUCAACCUGGGAACUGCGUUCUGAACUGGGUGACUAGAGUGUGUCAGAGGGAGGUAGAAUUCCACGUGUAGCAGUGAAAUGCGUAGAGAUGUGGAGGAAUACCGAUGGCGAAGGCAGCCUCCUGGGAUAACACUGACGUUCAUGCUCGAAAGCGUGGGUAGCAAACAGG
rnacentral:rRNA from 1 species